GAGACACAAAGUGGAGCAAGAAACCAGAGCUAGGGCUAAAGCUGUGGAGAAACAAGCAAAUUUAGGAUGUUAGUCGGCUUAGACUGAGACUAGAUCGACUAUGUCGAAGGUGGAUCGAUCCAGUCCCAAUCUGAGUCGACUAUGUCUCAGACAACAGAAAGGGAUGUCUCGAAAAACUGUGGCACGAUACGCAAGUUAGUCGACUCAGUGUCAGUUUGAGUUGGCUCGAUCCAAUCC
rnacentral:lncRNA from 1 species